ACCCGUAAUCCCUCCGUACCCGAA
rnacentral:siRNA from 1 species